AUUGAACGCUGGCGGAAUGCUUUACACAUGCAAGUCGAACGGCAGCACGGACUUCGGUCUGGUGGCGAGUGGCGAACGGGUGAGUAAUGUAUCGGAACGUGCCCAGUCGUGGGGGAUAACGUAGUGAAAAUUACGCUAAUACCGCAUACGAUCUAUGGAUGAAAGCGGGGGAUCGCAAGACCUCGCGCGAUUGGAGCGGUCGAUAUCAGAUUAGGUAGUUGGUGGGGUAAAGGCCCACCAAGCCAACGAUCUGUAGCUGGUCUGAGAGGACGACCAGCCACGCUGGAACUGAGACACGGUCCAGACUCCUACGAGAGGCAGCAGUGGGGAAUUUUGGACAAUGGGCGAAAGCCUGAUCCAGCCAUUCCGCGUGCAGGAUGAAGGCCCUCGGGUUGUAAACUGCUUUUGUACAGAACGAAAAGGUUUCUACUAAUACUAGGAGCUCAUGGCGGUACUGUAAGAAUAAGCACCGGCUAACUACGUGCCAGCAGCCGCAGUAA
rnacentral:rRNA from 1 species